rnacentral:rRNA from 1 species
UACGUAGGCAGCGAGCGUUGUUCGGAGUUACUGGGCGUAAAGGGUGUGUAGGCGGUUUUCUAAGUUUGGUGUGAAAUCUCCCGGCUCAACUGGGAGGGUGCGCCGAAUACUGAAUGACUAGAGUGCGGGAGAGGAGAGUGGAAUUCCUGGUGUAGCGGUGAAAUGCGUAGAUAUCAGGAGGAACACCGGUGGUGUAGACGGCUCUCUGGACCGUAACUGGCGCUGAGGCACGAAAGCGUGGGUAGCAAACAGG